GGAAGUAGUGAACUUACAGGAACAUAUACCACUACCAACGUUUGGAUCGAUAUCUGCAUCGAUCUGCACACCCUUGUCUCCUGGAUCGUAGCCGAGAUCAGCGUGAACCACGUGGGUCUCUGCUCCCUGAUCUGUUUCUUAAGACUUCCAGCUUCAUCACGGAAUUUCUCUCGGUUUGUGGGCUCAUCUAAAGUCCAAAGAGGGAGAGAGGAGAGAGAAAGAACAAGCUCAGAAGAACCAGCCUUUUUGGCCAGGGUGAAGGGAGUGUCUGCCAUCAAACAAGAAGACAGCCGUAUCUGAGUAACAGGAGUCUGGUAGAGCAACAGAAGAACAAUUUUGGACUCAGCUCAACCACUACAGAGGAAACAAUGACUUCAACACAGAAGGACCAACAUGGAGCGAGAAGUCAGCGCUCUCAGGAGGCCGACAAACGUCACAGAAGAAAGGGAGAGAAAACCUACAGCUGUGAUGAGUGUGGGAAGGAUUUUACGCGGACUGGGCACUUAAAAAGACACCAACUCAUCCACAGUGGAGUUAAACCUUACAGCUGUGAUGAGUGUGGGAAGUCUUUUACCCUGGCUCAAAAUUUAAAAACACACCAACUCAUCCACAGUGGAGUUAAACCUUACAGCUGUGAGUUGUGUGGAAAGUCCUUUACCCGGGCUGGAUGCUUAAAAAGACACCAACUCUUCCACAGUGGAGUUAAACCUUACAGCUGUGAUUUGUGUGGAAAGUCCUUUACACAGGCUGGAGGUUUAAAAACACACCAACUCUUACACAGUGGAGUUAAAGCGUACAGCUGUGAUUUGUGUGGAAAAUCUUUUAACGUGUUUCAAAACUUAAAAAAACACCAACUCAUCCACAGUGGAUUUAAAGCACACAGCUGUGAGUUGUGUGGUAAGGCUUUUGCUCAAAAUUACGAUUUACAGAGGCAUCUAGUUACCCACUCUCGAAUUAAGGCGUACAGCUGCGACUUUUGUGGAAAAAGUUUCAGCGACAAACACUACCGAAAUAUUCACCUACGGAUUCACACUGGAAAUGAUGUUUAUUGCUGUGAUCAGUGUGGGAAACUGUUUGCAACAGGUGGACAGUUACAACAACACAUGCUUAGCCACACUAAGGAGAGACCUUAUAAAUGUGACCUGUGUGAGAAGACUUUUAAAUCUCCACAUCAGCUGAAAAAACACCAACAGAUCCACACCAGAAAGUAACUCUACAAGUGCAGUUACUGUGAAGAUGUAUUUAUUUUCAUCUUGUAAUUGUAACCUGAGUGUUUGGAACAAGUCUGAUCAGUAAACUUAUGGGGUUAAGUAACCUGAGUUUUAAACAGUAAAAUGUAAUUGGACGUUGGCAGAGAUGCUCUUUAUUUCAGGCGACGUUCAGGAUAAAAACGUUGAAGGAGUUCCCUGACUUACACUGUCUUUGUUUAGAAGCGGAGCGACGCACAUGGAUCCAUUUCUCAACCCUGUCGUCACUGUGGUGGUGGGAAAGAGUUUCUCUGUGACCUUUGUGGAAAAACGUCAAUCAUCAACAGGACUUAAUACCUCAUCAACGUAGACAAAAUGAACUACUGCAAAGAAUGUAAGAGAGGCUUCCACACACCAAGUACAUUAAAAAUACAUGAACUCUAACACAGUUGGGUCAAAAAGCACAUCUGUGACCAGUUUGGGUCAUCCUUCACCACUGCACAUGGGUUUAAAGAAAAAGCAUAAGGGAAUCCACACAGGAGAGACACCAUACAAGUGCAGACACUGUGACAAAAGCUUCUCACAAUCAGGUCAUCGUAACAAACAUGAACGUACACACAUGGAAGUGAACUUCAGCUGUGACCAGUGUGACAAGAGCUUCAGGAAUGUCAGUUCAUACGCCGAACACAAACGAUUCCACGCUGUAAAUAAACUGUUUCACUGUUACCAAUGUGCAAAAACAUUCACUUCAUUAUCUGCUCUGUGCAAACAUCAGCCUGAUCAUGCAGGACUGAAAUCACUGGAUCACAAUGAAUCUGAAGAGAGAGAAAGAUCCUCUUCUGGCUUCAGGGUCAGACUUUAAAACCUUGAGAUCAGGCUCCACAGAGUUCAGAUGGAAUCUCCUGUAAAGAGUGUCAGCUGAUGUCACACUUGGAUCUGAUGAGGUAGCUCUGAUUUCUGGACCUGCAGUGAAUAAUCCUGAAUGUUACAUUUAGGAAGCUGCAUGUAUAGAUAUGUAUAUCAAGUUUAUGUUUUUUUCCUUUGAUGGAUUUUAAUUCUCUAAAGUGUUAUCCCUGUUACAUUUUAAUCUUUG